UUUAUUUCAAAGAAGCCACAUUUCCCCCUUUCCCUUUACUUCUUCUACAGAGGAGAGUCUAGGGUUUAACAAACAUGUCUUCUGCUUCUCAGUUCCAAGCCCACCGUGGCCAUGGCCUUCCCCAUUUUUCAGUGCAGUCCCCUGAGACCUGCCAUAUUCAAGAAAGGUUCAGGGACAGUAAUGGCUGCUCGAAGGAACAUGAUCCCCUCAAACAUUGUACAUGAAAGAUUUUCUCGUUAAAGGUACUGUUGUUGGGUUUAUGUAUUUGUAAUACAUAAGGGUUUGACAUAGGGAAUGAAGCCGAUUGGUCCGUGUAGCAUAGUUAGAAAUCUAAUAUUCACAAAUUGUUGUAAAGUGCUAUCACAUUGACAUAUUUUGGAUAAUAGAUUUGGUGCUGCAACUUCUGGCUAUAGGCUUAUCAUAAUAAUUUGAUAUCUAAAUCGCAAUUUGCAA